UACGGAGGGAGCUAGCGUUGUUCGGAUUUACUGGGCGUAAAGGGCGCGUAGGCGGUCGUGACAAGUCACUUGUGAAAUCUCCGGGCUUAACUCGGAACGGUCAAGUGAUACUGUCGGGCUAGAGUCCGGAAGAGGCGAGUGGAACUCCUGGUGUAGCGGUGGAAUGCGCAGAUAUCAGGAAGAACACCAACGGCGAAGGCAGCUCGCUGGGACGGUACUGACGCUGAGACGCGAAAGCGUGGGGAGCGAACAGG
rnacentral:rRNA from 1 species